CACGGGGGGGAGCAAGCGUUGUUCGGAAUCACUGGGCGUAAAGGGCGUCUAGGCGGUCAGGUAAGUGGGAUGUGAAAUGCCCCGGCUCACCCGGGGACCGGCAUCCCCAUACUGCUUGGCUUGAGUACGGGAGAGGAUGUGGGAAUUCCUGGUGUAGCGGUGAAAUGCGUAGAUAUCAGGAGGAACACCGGUGGCGAAGGCGCACAUCUGGCCCGAUACUGACGCUGAAGCGCGAAAGCUAGGGGAGCAAACAGG
rnacentral:rRNA from 1 species